rnacentral:lncRNA from 1 species
AUGGAUCACAGUAAGCUGUGGAAAAUUCUUCAAGAGAUGGGAAUACCAGAGUACCUGACCUGCCUCUUGAGAAACCUAUAUGCAAGUCAGGAAGCAACAGUUAAAAGUGGACAUGGAACAACAGACUGGUUCCAAAUAGGAAAAGGAGUACAUCAAGGCUGUAUACUAUCACCCUGCUUAUUUAACUUCUAUGCAGAGUACAUCAUGAGAAACGCUGGACUGGAGGAAGCACAAGCUGCAAUCAAGAUCGCCGAGAGAAAUAUCAACAACCUCAGAUAUGCAGAUGACACCACCCUUAUGGCAGAAAGUGAAGAGGAACUAAAAAGCCUCUUGAUGAAAGUGAAAGUGGAGAGUGAAAAAGUUGGCUUAAAGCUCAACAUUCAGAAAACGAAGAUCAUGGCAUCCGGUCCCAUCACUUCAUGGGAAAUAGAUGGGGAAACAGUGGAAACGGUGUCAGACUUUAUAUUUUUGGGCUCCAAAAUCACUGCAGAUGGUGAUUGCAGCCAUGAAACUAAAAGACACUUACUCCUUGGAAGAAAAGUUAUGACCAACCUAGACAGUAUAUUCAAAAGCAGAGACAUUACUUUGCCGACUAAGGUCCGUCUAGUCAAGGCUAUGAUUUUUCCUGUGGUCAUGUAUGGAUGUGAGAGUUGGACUGUGAAGAAAGCUGAGCACCGAAGAAUUGAUGCUUUUAAACUAUGGUGUUGGAGAAGACUCUUGAGAGUCCCUUGGACUGCAAGGAGAUCCAACCAGUCCAUUCUGAAGGAGAUCAGCCCUGGGAUUUCUUUGGAAGGAAUGAUGCUGAAGCUGAAACUCCAGUACUUUGGCCACCUCAUGCGAAGAGUUGAUCCAUUGGAAAAGACUCUCAUGCUGAGAGGGAUUGGGGGCAGGAGGAGAAGGGGACAACAGAGGAUGAGAUGGCUGGAUGGCAUCACCGACUCGAUGGACAUGAGUCUGAGUGGACUCUGGGAGAUGGUCAUCGACAGGGAGGCCUGGUGUGCUGCUUUUCAUGGGGUUGCAAAGAGUCGGACACGACUGAGUGACUGA